rnacentral:rRNA from 1 species
GACGAACGCUGGCGGCGUGCCUAAUACAUGCAAGUAGAACGCACAGUUUAUACCGUAGCUUGCUACACCAUAGACUGUGAGUUGCGAACGGGUGAGUAACGCGUAGGUAACCUGCCUGGUAGCGGGGGAUAACUAUUGGAAACGAUAGCUAAUACCGCAUAAUAUUAAUUAUUGCAUGAUAAUUAAUUGAAAGGUGCAAUUGCACCACUACCAGAUGGACCUGCGUUGUAUUAGCUAGUAGGUGAGGUAACGGCUCACCUAGGCGACGAUACAUAGCCGACCUGAGAGGGUGAUCGGCCACACUGGGACUGAGACACGGCCCAGACUCCUACGGGAGGCAGCAGCAGGGAAUCUUCGGCAACGGACGAAAGUCUGACCGAGCAACGCCGCGUGAGUGAAGAAGGUUUUCGGAUCGUAAAGCUCUGUUGUAAGAGAAGAACGGGUGUGAUAGUGGAAAGUUCACACUGUGACGGUAUCUUACCAGAAAGGGACGGCUAACUACGUG